ensembl:lncRNA
CCCACUUGACAUAAAUCCCCAUUACAGAGAUUCAUCGAUCCAUCAGAGUCGAAGGACAGCACAUCUGAAACAUAUAAUUAGCAUCUUUCUUUCUGAUUCUAAGCUUAGGAUUACCUUUUUCCCACAUGUGACUUUCUUUUAAGAGAGAACGUGCUGGUAGAACUGAUGCUAGCAUCUGGUUUUGGUUUUCUGAGUAUGAGGCAUGUGAGAUCUUAGCUACCCAACCAGGGAUGGAAUCCCAUACACACUUCAUUGGAAAGUGAAAUCUCAGCCACUGGACCACCAGCAGGACUGCUAAAAUUCAUCUUGGAAACCUGUUGUGAGGGUUGGAAACUGCGCACAAUGACUACAGGAGUACCUGACAUCGAAGGGGGUCAUUAGGUUUCUGUGAAUAUUCUGUAUUGCCAUUGUGAACAUUAUAACAAACAGAAACCACGAUUUAAAAGUUGGGAAGCCAGAAGGGGGAGCUGCCAUGCCCUGCAACAAUGGAAGUGUCCAAGAGGAAGAAGAAAGACUUCCUGCCUGACAAGAGCUCAUCCAUAAGAGGCUGUCACAGUAAGUCAAUGGAAAGCCACUACACACUUUGAACUCUAAAUUUUCCCAGAGGACUCUUUUCUGCUCCCCACCCCCGCCCCACCAUCCUUUUACCCUCUUUAAAAGAGUUCUCCUCUCCUUACUAUGAGGGGAUUUACAUACGGUUCACCUUGGUUGCAGAUUCCAAAAGGCAAUUCUUGGCUGAUCUUGAAUAAAUCUAUCUUCUGC